rnacentral:lncRNA from 1 species
UCUUCUCCUCUUAUGACGAACAAAGACGUUUCGACUGUCACUAGACAACGACAAACCCGUAGACAUUCAAAUAAUGCUAUAGGUUUGAUACUUCGAUUCGUAUAUUUAGUAUUUGAUUUCAUUUCCUGACAGAUCAUAUUACAUCCCAUUUUGAAUGGAAAUUGAUUUGCGCGCACAAUAAUUUUCCAAAAGUUGUUGGACAUUUACAUGGUCCAAUCAAAACACGUUUUAUCAUUACAUAUUUACGGUACAUAUUUAAUCUACUCGUAUUGUUCUUAAUUAUGACUUUAUUUUUAAAAACUCGUAAAUACUGCGGCCUUGCGGGUUAAUUAUUUAUAUGUGAAAAAAACACACUCUGUCUACCAACAAAAAAAAACAAUCAUAUCAAUAUAUAGUAAUAUCUGAAUACUAAAAAAAUAACAAUUAUAUAAAUAUGUGCAUAUAUAUAACAUCCACAAAAUAUUGCUUCUAUAAUAUAUAUGAAUCAUGCAUGUCAUUCAUUCAAAUGGGUUUCGUUUAUUUCAGAUAUGAUUUAGAAAGAAAACGCCGAAUUGUUGAUCAUAGAUAAAGGAGGUUUGUAUUGAGUUGACAGAGUUUUAUUUUUUCAAAAAAUUGUUUUUCUUUCGUCUAAUUUUUGGUGGACGAGAUUGGAGAGAAAUGGAUUGAUUGCAAUGGCAAUAGCAUCGGUAACUAGCGGACAAGUGGCUUCACAUGGAAGCUCUGCAAAAAAUCAAUAAUGGUGUAUGUUUGGUUCUAACCUACAAUUUUUUAUAGGUCAUUGAUUGUGAUAAGACAUCAAACAAACGAAAAUUAUUUUUAACGAACUUAACUAACAAUAGUAAGACGGUUAAAAGUUAGUUCAUGCGAGCGGAUUAUCAUUAUUAUGAAUUGUUUUGAAAUUAUUUAUAGAUAUAGUAGGACACUCACACUCUUCCUUUUUUUUUUUUUUCACAGAAUUUCAUUAAAAACAAACAUCUGUUACAUAGGCCAUUUGAUUACAUAGUUUUGCAAAGUAGUUCUAGCCUUUUUUGCUAAACUAUCCGCAUCGUUAUUAAGAUUGCGUUUGAUCUGCUUGAAAGUAAAACCAUUUUCCUGCGCUACUCUUCUAAUAUCUUGUAAUGACAUUGCACAAGGAAGAUGUCGAAUGCAUGUUGGAUUUGCUGACUCUUGAUAAUUAAUGAGAGGGCCAUAAAUAAUGCCUGAGUCACCAACAAAUUUAACAUCUUUAUAACCAAGUCGUCGCAGAUCAAAAAUAGCAAUGCGAAGAGCUUCAGCCUCUGCAUCGUGCGGCGAGAGAGUUGGAGGGAUAGCUCCAGAUCCUGUGAGAAGCUGUUUACCAUUUUGAUCAUAUAGGAUCCAUGCUAUUCCGGUUGCUUGUGUUCUUGAAAUCCAGGAUGCAUCAGUAAAACA